GAUGAACGCUGGCGGCGUGCUUAACACAUGCAAGCCGAACGAAGCACAGAAGUUGCUUGCAACAUCUGUGACUGAGUGGCGGACGGGUGAGUAACGCGUGGGUGACCUACCCUAUACAGGGGGAUAACAGUUAGAAAUGACUGCUAAUACCGCAUAAGCACACGCUGUCGCAUGACAGAGUGUGAAAAGAAUUUCGGUACAGGAUGGGCCCGCGUCUGAUUAGCUAGUUGGUAAGGUAAAGGCUUACCAAGGCAACGAUCAGUAGCCGGCUUGAGAGAGUGAACGGCCACAUUGGAACUGAGACACGGUCCAA
rnacentral:rRNA from 1 species